UGGUCUUGACAUGCAAGUGGUAGGAGGAUGAAAGUCCGACGAGGCAGCAAUGCCAGCUUGCACAGGUGCUGCAUGGCUGUCGUCAGCUCGUGUCGUGAGAUGUUGGGUUAAGUCCCGCAACGAGCGCAACCCUUGUGUCCUGUUGCCACUCCGGCGAAAGCCGAGCACUCUGGACAGACUGCCUCGCUUCAACGAGGAGGAAGGUGGGGAUGACGUCAAGUCAGUAUGGCCCUUACGGCCAGGGCUGCACACGUACUACAAUGCCCAGUACAGAAUGAACCGAUACCGCGAGGUGGAGGAAAUCUCGAAAACUGGGCUCAAUUCGGAUUGCAGGCUGCAACUCGCCUGCAUGAAGUCGGAAUCGCUAGUAAUGGCGCAUCAGCUACGGCGCCGUGAAUACGUUCCCGGGCC
rnacentral:rRNA from 1 species